rnacentral:rRNA from 1 species
UAGAGUUUGAUCCUGGCUCAGGAUGAACGCUAGCGACAGGCUUAACACAUGCAAGUCGAGGGGCAGCGGUGGUGAAGGCUUGCCUUUACCAGCCGGCGACCGGCGCACGGGUGAGUAACACGUAUGCAACCUGCCUGCCACAGCCGGAUAAUCGGGAGAAAUUCCGUCUAAUACGGCAUAAUGCACCUAUGGGACAUCCUGUUGGUGCCAAAGGUUGAUUCCGGUGGCGGAUGGGCAUGCGUCGCAUUAGUUAGUUGGCGGUGUAACGGACCACCAAGACGACGAUGCGUAGGGGUUCUGAGAGGAAGGUCCCCCACACUGGUACUGAGACACGGACCAGACUCCUACGGGAGGCAGCAGUGAGGAAUAUUGGUCAAUGGGCGGGAGCCUGAACCAGCCAAGUCGCGUGAGGGAUGACGGCCCUAUGGGUUGUAAACCUCUUUUGCCGGGGAGCAAAGUGCCGCACGUGUGCGGUUUGGAGAGUACCCGGAGAAAAAGCAUCGGCUAACUCCGUGCCAGCAGCCGCGGUAAUACGGAGGAUGCGAGCGUUAUCCGGAUUUAUUGGGUUUAAAGGGUGCGUAGGCGGACGCUUAAGUCAGCGGUAAAAUUGCGGGGCUCAACCUCGUCGAGCCGUUGAAACUGGGUGCCUUGAGUGGGCGAGAAGUACGCGGAAUGCGUGGUGUAGCGGUGAAAUGCAUAGAUAUCACGCAGAACUCCGAUUGCGAAGGCAGCGUACCGGCGCCCAACUGACGCUGAAGUACGAAGGCGUGGGCAUCGAACAGGAUUAGAUACCCUGGUAGUCCACGCAGUAAACGAUGAAUGCUAGUUGUCCGGGGCGAUUGAGUUCUGGGUGACACAGCGAAAGCGUUAAGCAUUCCACCUGGGGAGUACGCCGGCAACGGUGAAACUCAAAGGAAUUGACGGGGGCCCGCACAAGCGGAGGAACAUGUGGUUUAAUUCGAUGAUACGCGAGGAACCUUACCCGGGCUCAAACGCAGGAGGGAUGUUUUUGAAAGGAGGCAGCCAGCAAUGGUCUCCUGCGAGGUGCUGCAUGGUUGUCGUCAGCUCGUGCCGUGAGGUGUCGGCUUAAGUGCCAUAACGAGCGCAACCCCUACCUACAGUUGCCAUCGCGUGAUGGCGGGCACUCUGUGGGGACUGCCUGCGCAAGCAGUGAGGAAGGCGGGGAUGACGUCAAAUCAGCACGGCCCUUACGUCCGGGGCGACACACGUGUUACAAUGGCAGGUACAGCGGGAAGCCACCCGGCGACGGGGCGCGGAACCCGAAAACCUGUCUCAGUUCGGAUUGGAGUCUGCAACCCGACUCCAUGAAGCUGGAUUCGCUAGUAAUCGCGCAUCAGCCACGGCGCGGUGAAUACGUUCCCGGGCCUUGCACACACCGCCCG